GGGGGUGGAUCUGGUUUCGACGGGGAUUAAAACCUGCAAUGGUAGUCCUCGGACCACGGUUCGAUUCCGUGCACCUCCACCA
rnacentral:tmRNA from 1 species